CGUGUAGGCGGUUUGGUAAGUCAGAUGUGAAAGCCCUGGGCUUAACCCAGGAAGUGCAUUUGAUACUGCCAUUCUUGAGUAUGGGAGAGGAGAGUGGAAUUCCCAGUGUAGAGGUGAAAUUCGUAGAUAUUGGGAGGAACACCCGUGGCGAAGGCGACUCUCUGGACCAAUACUGACGCUGAGACGCGAAAGCGUGGGGAGCAAACA
rnacentral:rRNA from 1 species